rnacentral:rRNA from 1 species
AUUGAACGCUGGCGGCAUGCUUUACACAUGCAAGUCGAACGGCAGCGCGGGGCAACCUGGCGGCGAGUGGCGAACGGGUGAGUAAUAUAUCGGAACGUACCCAGAAGUGGGGGAUAACGUAGCGAAAGUUACGCUAAUACCGCAUACGAUCUACGGAUGAAAGUAGGGGACCGCAAGGCCUUAUGCUUUUGGAGCGGCCGAUAUCUGAUUAGCUAGUUGGUGAGGUAAAGGCUCACCAAGGCGACGAUCAGUAGCUGGUCUGAGAGGACGACCAGCCACACUGGAUCUGAGACACGGUCCAGACUCCUACGGGAGGCAGCAGUGGGGAAUUUUGGACAAUGGGCGCAAGCCUGAUCCAGCAAUGCCGCGUGAGUGAAGAAGGCCUUCGGGUUGUAAAGCUCUUUUGUCAGGGAAGAAACGGUAGAGGCUAAUAUCCUUUGCUAAUGACGGUACCUGAAGAAUAAGCACCGGCUAACUACGUG